AUAAGGACCUUCAAGGUUAGUUCUUUGAAUCAACGACUCUCUUUUUAUCUCACUUGUACAUAUUUCACACGCGUGCACAAACACACACACAUCCCACAAAAUCAAGAUGGAGCGUUCCGGGCGUUUGUUUUCAACUAUCUUCAUCCUCAUCUUACUUUUGGUGGCUAUUGGAACGGGGCCAAUGGUUACUGAGGGGAAGACAAACGAGAACUCGUCAAAGAAUGAGAAGUCAUCGAAGAUUUGUGAGUCUCCGAGCCAUAAAUACCGCGGUAUUUGCUUUCGGUCAAGCAAUUGUGCAACUACAUGCAAAAAAGAGGGAUUUAUGGGAGGCAAAUGUGCUGGCUUCCGGAUGAGAUGUGUAUGCACUAAAAAAUGUUAAGUCAUACAAAAACUAACGUACGUAUUUGGAUGCAUGCGUGGGAAUAAAAGAAUUUUUUGUUUUGUUUGUUUGAAGAGAAUAAAUGACUAAACCCUAAUUCACAAUGGGUUUCCAUGUGCCUUUGUUUUUUGUUGUUUUACGUUGAACAUAUAUGUUUAAACGACUUAAGAUUUUCCAUCAAUGCAUUUUUCUUUUCAAUUGUU